AGCGAACGCUGGCGGCAGGCCUAACACAUGCAAGUCGAACGAAGUCUUCGGACUUAGUGGCGGACGGGUGAGUAACACGUGGGAACGUGCCUUUAGGUUCGGAAUAACUCAGGGAAACUUGUGCUAAUACCGAAUGUGCCCUUCGGGGGAAAGGUUUAUCGCCUUUAGAGCGGCCCGCGUCUGAUUAGCUAGUUGGUGAGGUAAAGGCUCACCAAGGCGACGAUCAGUAGCUGGUCUGAGAGGAUGAUCAGCCACAUUGGGACUGAGACACGGCCCAAACUCCUACGGGAGGCAGCAGUGGGGAAUCUUGCGCAAUGGGCGAAAGCCUGACGCAGCCAUGCCGCGUGAAUGAUGAAGGUCUUAGGAUUGUAAAAUUCUUUCACCAGAGAAGAUAAUGACGGUAUCCGGAGAAGAAGCCCCGGCUAACUUCGUGCCAGCCGCCGCGGUAACAC
rnacentral:rRNA from 1 species